rnacentral:rRNA from 1 species
UACGAAGGGGGCUAGCGUUGCUCGGAAUCACUGGGCGUAAAGGGUGCGUAGGCGGGUCUUUAAGUCAGGGGUGAAAUCCUGGAGCUCAACUCCAGAACUGCCUUUGAUACUGAAGACCUUGAGUUCGGGAGAGGUGAGUGGAACUGCGAGUGUAGAGGUGAAAUUCGUAGAUAUUCGCAAGAACACCAGUGGCGAAGGCGGCUCACUGGCCCGA